rnacentral:lncRNA from 1 species
CUUCCUGAUCUCCAUCAGCACUUGAGUUUUUGAAGCAUUGAGAGGGAUGUAGCUAUGGAAUCUUCCUGGGGGAGAGCUCCGUCGAACUCUGCGGUCCGGGCUUCUCUACCUACGAGCUCGGGGGGGAGUUCAGACAUGCUUGUGUCCGGAGGAAGUUCGAGAACAUGGCUGAGCUUCACUCGACCCUUUUUUAGCUGCGGGCUUGCUGGAGUCACCCGCCUGUCGUUCCUUCGUGGCCUCCUCAUCCUUCAGCUUGAAGGCUUUCUCUGCUCGGGCAUAUCCUUCAGCCCGAGCCAGCAAAUCAGUGAAGUCCCUGGGAUUCUUCUUUUUCAGGGAAAAUAGAAGAUCAUUCUUUUGAAGAUCGCUCUUCAGGGCGG